CCUACGGGCGGCAGCAGUGAGGAAUAUUGGUCAAUGGGCGCGAGCCUGAACCAGCCAAGUAGCGUGAAGGAUGACUGCCCUACGGGUUGUAAACUUCUUUUAUAAAGGAAUAAAGUGAGGCACGUGUGCCUUUUUGUAUGUACUUUAUGUAUAAGGAACGGCUAACUCCGUGCCAGCAGCCGCGGUAAUACGGAGGAUCCGAGAGUUAUCCGGUUUGAUUGGGUUGAAAGGGAGCGUAGAUGGGUUGUUAAGUUAGUUGGGAAAGUUUGCGGCUCAACCGUAAAAUGGCAAUUGAUACUGGCAGCCUUGAGUACAGUUGAGGUAAGCGGAAUUCGUGGUGUAGCGGUGAAAUGCUUAGAUAUCACGAAGAACUCCGAUUGCGAAGGCAGCUUACUAAACUGCCACUGACAUUGAUGCUCGAAAGUGUGGGUAUCAAACAGGAUUAGAUACCCGAGUAGUC
rnacentral:rRNA from 1 species